rnacentral:rRNA from 1 species
GCGGUGAAUACGUUCCCGGGCCUUGUACACACCGCCCGUCACGUCAUGAAAGUCGGUAAACCCGAAGCCGGUGGCCUAACCCUUGUGGAGGGAGCCGUCGAAGGUGGGAUCGGCGAUUGGGACGAAGUCGUAACAAGGUAGCCGUACCGGAAGGUGCGGCUGGAUCACCUCCUUUCUAAGGAG